rnacentral:rRNA from 1 species
GAAUCUUGGACAAUGGGGGCAACCCUGAUCCAGCCAUGCCGCGUGAGCGAUGAAGGCCCUAGGGUUGUAAAGCUCUUUCAGCGGGGAAGAUAAUGACGGUACCCGCAGAAGAAGCCCCGGCUAACUCCGUGCCAGCAGCCGCGGUAAUACGGAGGGGGCUAGCGCUGUUCGGAAUUACUGGGCGUAAAGCGCACGUAGGCGGAUUGGUAAGUUGGGGGUGAAAUCCCGGGGCUCAACCCCGGAACUGCCUCCAAAACUCCCAGUCUGGAGUUCGGGAGAGGCGAGUGGAAUUCCGAGUGUAGAGGUGAAAUUCGUAGAUAUUCGGAGGAACACCAGUGGCGAAGGCGGCUCGCUGGUCCGGUACUGACGCUGAGGUGCGAAAGCGUGGGGAGCAAACAGG